rnacentral:rRNA from 1 species
UACGGAGGGGGCUAGCGUUGUUCGGAAUUACUGGGCGUAAAGCGCGCGUAGGCGGUUGGGUAAGUCAGAUGUGAAAGCCCCCAGCUCAACUGGGGAACUGCGUCUGAUACUGCUUGGCUUGAGUCCGAUAGGGGAUGGCAGAAUUCCCGGUGUAGCGGUGGAAUGCGUAGAUAUCGGGAGGAAUACCGAUGGCGAAGGCGGCCAUCUGGGUCGGUACUGACGCUGAGGCGCGAAAGCUAGGGGAGCAAACAGG